GGAGGUAGUGACAAUAAAUCACAAUGCGGAACUUUUGUUUUGCAAUUGGAUUAAGAACAACGCACAACACUUAUCGAUAAACAAUUGGAGGGCAAGUCUGGUGCCAGCAGCCGCGGUAAUUCCAGCUCCAAUAGCGUAUAUUAACGUUGUUGCAGUUAAAAAGCUCGUAGUUGAAGUGAAGUAAUGAAGUUGUGAUUUGAAAUUUUCAUUUCGCUUCUUAAUUACUCUUUCCAAAUUGUUUGCAUGGGUAUUCAUUUAUCUGUGUAUUGCAUUUGGUCAUUUACUGUGAGAAAAUUAGAGUGUUCAAAGCAUACGUUUGUUUGAAUACAUUAGCAUGGAAUAAUUCGAAAAGGCUUUCAUGUUCGAUUUGAUUGGUUUGUUCGUGAGAGCAAGAUUAAAAGGGACAGUUGGGGGUAUUCAUAUUCAAUAGUCAGAGGUGAAAUUCUCGGAUUUAUGGAAGAUGAACAAGUGCGAAAGCA
rnacentral:rRNA from 1 species